rnacentral:rRNA from 1 species
GAUGAACGCUGGCGGCGUGCUUAACACAUGCAAGUCGAGCGAGAAGGCGUUUUAUGGAAUCUUCGGAGGAAGUAGAGGCUGGAAAGCGGCGGACGGGUGAGUAACGCGUGGGUAACCUGCCCUGUACAGAGGGAUAGCCAUUGGAAACGAUGAUUAAAACCUCAUAAGACCACAAUAUCGCAUGAUAAAGAGGUCAAAACUCCGGUGGUACAGGAUGGACCCGCGUUAGAUUAGCUAGUUGGUGGGGUAAAGGCUCACCAAGGCGACGAUCUAUAGCCGACCUGAGAGGGUGAACGGCCACACUGGAACUGAGACACGGUCCAGACUCCUACGGGAGGCAGCAGUGGGGAAUAUUGCACAAUGGGCGAAAGCCUGAUGCAGCAACGCCGCGUGAGCGAAGAAGGCUUUCGGGUCGUAAAGCUCUGUCCUAAGGGAAGAAAUUUUGACGGUACCUUAGGAGGAAGCCCCGGCUAACUACGUG